ensembl:lncRNA
GAAGGAUACAAGCACUUUUGUGUUCAUCUCGUCAACAUCAUCAGCUUCACGACACAUUAAUCCUCGUAGUGUUCUAGUCACUAGCAAACAAGAGAGAGCUUUUGUGUCUCAAUCCUACCUCAAAAGAAUUCCUCAUCCUCAUCCCUCGCACCUCUCUACCGGUAGCGCGAGCCACACAGCGCAGCCAUGGCCAGCGACGAUCAGCGGGGGCUACAUUAUGAACAAACGUUGUGGUUUGCAGAAGAGGAUGUCUUCCUUAAUUGACACCCCAUAAACGUAACGGACAUAUUCCAGGAGAUGUGCCAGGCCGCCAUGUCUGUUGACUCAUCCAGCUGUAACGCAUAUACUUCACUGGCUUCAUUGUCCCAGUCAUAUCCACGGCAGCAGGAAGAAUGAAGUCCUCCACAAUAGUAUGGGGCUUGCCUGUCUGUAACGUGUGUGCUGGGAGUGGUGACCUAGAGGCCAGAGAGGGAGCACACAUCUUAGCCACUCGGUAGCUCACCAUAUAAGACGCUUUUAGACCCUUCUUAUUAAUGGUAUCUGUUACUUUUAUACAUGUCUUAUUACUCGAAAGUCGUCAUUAUUCUCGCUCCAAACACUCUGUGGCUUAUUUUUCAAAUGGUCAUGUUUUGUUUCUAAAUGUCUGUGCAAGUGUGAAGGUUUCCUGUGAGAGAGUAACGGUUAAUGUGAUUGGAUGUUCAUUUUUUGACUAGGCUACCUGUAUUUGACAUUGUGUUGUUAUUUCGCUGAACAUUAGAUGGUUUAAUUUUAAUUUUGGCAGUGAAACGAGGCUACUCAUGCGAGAGAGAAAAAACUCACCCAAAUGUACAGCCCCGUUGGAAAAUGUAAAUGUACUGUUUGAAAAUGUGAAGAUAAUACAAAUAAAAAGUGAAAUGUGAA